GUACCACAGUUCUGGGGGUGUGGCUUGGUGUGCCACGCCACGCCCCCUCGGUUCUGACUCUUCUCUCCUCCACCGAACGUAAACACAGCAGCGGAUCCAAGAUGGCCCCCCAGCCCGUGUUCCGAGCGGCUGGUCUCGUGCUGUUCUCGGUGCUUCUCACGGUUCUGCUCGGGCUCGGUCUACCGGCGCUGCUCAACGCGCUCAUGCGGCUGCUCGGGCUCCCGGAGAGCAGCGUCACGGAGUGCGUGGUGCUCGUGUACGCGGGGUUCGUGCUGUUCGUCGCGACGCCCCGGAUCCCCCGAGGACUGGAGCAGGUGAGCGGUCGAGCCGUGUUCAUCACAGGCUGUGACAGUGGGUUCGGUCACGCGCUCGCCAAACAUCUGCACAGCCUGGGCUUCACCGUGUUCGCUGGAUGUUUCCUGAAGGAUCAAGGUGGAGAAGGAGCCAAGGAGCUCGAGGAGUUCCACUCCGAUCGCAUGAAGCUCGUCCAGCUGGACGUGUGCAGCGAGGAGCAGGUGAACCAGGCUGUGGAAUUCAUCAAAGAGAACCUGGAGGACUCUGAAAGAGGCCUGUGGGCCGUGGUGAACAACGCCGGCAAGUCGACCUUCGGAGAGGUGGAGUUUACCUCCAUGGACACGUUCAAGGAGGUGUCAGAGGUCAACCUGUGGGGAACCAUCAGGGUCACCAAAGCUGUUCUGCCGUUAAUCCGCAGGGCCAAAGGUCGUGUGGUGAACAUGGCCAGCCUGUACGGCAGGAUGGGAAAUGUCAACCGGUCUGCUUACUGCGUGUCUAAAUACGGCCUGGAGGCCUUUUCCGACUGCCUGCGCUAUGAGAUGAAGACCUGGGGAGUCAAGGUGUCCAUCGUGGAACCCGGGAACUUCAUCGCGGCCACCGGCAUCCUGACCCGCGACAUCGUGGCCAGCACGGCCAGCAAGCUGUGGAGCGAGGCCCCCUCCAUCGUGAAGGAGGACUACGGGAAGGCCCACUUGGAGCAGCACGUGGCUCUGAUGCGCUCCUUCUGCAGCAGCGGCUCCAAGAGCAUGGCCCCCGUGUUGGACGACAUCACCGACGCCAUCAUGUCCAAACACCCGUACGCACGAUACUGUCCCUCCGAGCCACACUGGUGGAUCCGCCUGCAGCUGAUGACCCACCUGCCCACCGCCCUGUCCGACCUUCUCUACUUCUAAACCAGAGUUUUCUCCGUCUCUCACGUCCUCAGAUCACAUGUCGGUGAUUCUUCAACAUUCUCAGAGCUACAGACUCUGCUCUCUGUUCCUCAGCACUUGAAGCCAUUCACUGACCAAGCCUUAAAAGUUAAUGGUUCCUUUAAACUGUGAGUAAACUCUUGCACUUUGGUACAUCUUACAAAUACCACAGCUUUAUCUAUACAUAGAGAUUCAGAGAUAAGUAGUUACUACUUGGUGUUGGGCUAUGACACACUUUUUGCUGUGAUGCCUUCUUUUUAAAAAACUCAUAUUUCUCUCCUAUCUUUUAUUUGUUGUUUCCCUGAUUCUUGUUAUUGUUUUGCCUUGUGUGAAUCUUCUGGGGGGGCCGGUGGUGCAGCUGAGAAGGCCCCUGCGGUUCUGUUGUGGCUGUGGCCGGAACAAACCAAGGGCAGCUACUGUAAGAGUUGGUGGGAUUUGGCUCGACUCGCCACCAAAGUUACGUAACGGCAACACAAGCCCACUUUGUCUCACAUGCUCUUGAGACUAGAACAGUUUGGUCGAAUGAUGUGAUGAAUGCGCUUAGACAAACAGGUGGCGCAAAAGCACUACGAGCCCAACCGACCACUGCUGUCUCCCUGCAGAAAUCAUCCGUUGCAGGGUUCAUUUUUCCAUUCGUCCUCUGCGAAAUCCCUCGCGUUCCCUACUUUCUGUGCUCGAGUCCAAGAGGCCACAGCUGGAGAACUCAUCAUCGCAGGCACCGUGAUCAUCAUCCUCCUCCUCCUCUUCGUCGCCGUACUCUCCCCGAGCCCCCUGCUGGAGCAGCGUGUGAGGAGCCGCUUCAGCUUCGAUUGCAGGCACUGGUACGAGAUGCUCCUCCAACAUUCAAACACUUCUUGGUCCAUUUCUCACUCGACAAACUCCACUUCACUAAAGACUGUAAAUACAAGUCAUGUGCUGUGUAGACAGACUUUUCACUGGGAAAAUCCCACCGUGCUCCCAUAACUGGGACCUUACAGAGCCCAGAAAAACUCAGUCAGACCAGUUUACUUCACUUCCCGCAGCACUUUGUCGCAAGGAACUGUUUUCUGAAAAAUCCUUUGUGGCCGCUGAGGGGAGAGGGCGUCUCUCAGCUUCAUGUAUACAGUCUGCAGACACACAAACACGACCCGUGGGUGACCUUUCUCUCUCCCUCCAGUGAUCACCAAUUCCAGAUCAGUGACAUCAUCCUCUGGCCUGUAGCUCCGUUUCCCCUCCCAGCUCCACAGAAGUGGUCAGCGUACAGGGAGGGGGAGGGGGGAGGGGCGGAUCCAGGCGGCUGUGAGGAGGGAAAUACUUUACAACCCUUCAGACACAUGGAUGACCUCGGCCAGUCUCUCCCAGUGAAGGUGCGAGGACGUGAUUCUGUCUUCAUGCAACGUCCCGGCCGCCUCUGGAGCCUCGGCCUUGUAACAUUCACAUGAUACGGAUACAGCAAUAUGUGAGACAAGCAGUUCUGGAGAGGAGGAGUCGACAGUAUAGUUUGACUCGGCAGACGCACAGUUUGAUGUUCCGAUUGCCGCAACCAUAGAAUCGUGUCAAUAAAUAUAUUUUGGUCACUUAA